rnacentral:rRNA from 1 species
CAUCUAAGCGGGAAGCACGCCCCAAGAUGAGAUCUCCCGAGAGCUUGACUCUCCUAAAGGCACCAUCAAGACCAGGUGGUUGAUAGGCUGGGUGUUGACGUGCAGUAAUGCAUGAAGCUAACCAGUACUAAUGAGCCGUGCGGCUUGGCCAU